AACGACAUCGAAAGCUUGCUUUUGAUGGGCGUCGACCGGCGCACGGGUGAGUAACGCGUAUCCAACCUGCCCACCACUUGGGGAUAACCUUGCGAAAGUAAGACUAAUACCCAAUGACGUCUCUAGAAGACAUCUGAAAGAGAUUAAAGAUUUAUCGGUGAUGGAUGGGGAUGCGUCUGAUUAGCUUGUUGGCGGGGUAACGGCCCACCAAGGCGACGAUCAGUAGGGGUUCUGAGAGGAAGGUCCCCCACAUUGGAACUGAGACACGGUCCAAACUCCUACGGGAGGCAGCAGUGAGGAAUAUUGGUCAAUGGACGAGAGUCUGAACCAGCCAAGUAGCGUGCAGGAAGACGGCCCUAUGGGUUGUAAACUGCUUUUAUAAGGGAAUAAAGUGAGAGUCGUGACUCUUUUUGCAUGUACCUUAUGAAUAAGGACCGGCUAAUUCCGUGCCAGCAGCCGCGGUAAUACGGAAGGUCCGGGCGUUAUCCGGAUUUAUUGGGUUUAAAGGGAGCGUAGGCCGGAGAUUAAGCGUGUUGUGAAAUGUAGAUGCUCAACAUCUGAACUGCAGCGCGAACUGGUUUCCUUGAGUACGCACAAAGUGGGCGGAAUUCGUGGUGUAGCGGUGAAAUGCUUAGAUAUCACGAAGAACUCCGAUUGCGAAGGCAGCUCACUGGAGCGCAACUGACGCUGAAGCUCGAAAGUGCGGGUAUCGAACAGGAUUAGAUACCCUGGUAGUCCGCACGGUAAACGAUGGAUGCCCGCUGUUGGUCUGAAUAGGUCAGCGGCCAAGCGAAAGCAUUAAGCAUCCCACCUGGGGAGUACGCCGGCAACGGUGAAACUCAAAGGAAUUGACGGGG
rnacentral:rRNA from 1 species